rnacentral:rRNA from 1 species
UAGGGAAUCUUCGGCAAUGGACGGAAGUCUGACCGAGCAACGCCGCGUGAGUGAAGAAGGUUUUCGGAUCGUAAAGCUCUGUUGUAAGAGAAGAACGAGUGUGAGAGUGGAAAGUUCACACUGUGACGGUAUCUUACCAGAAAGGGACGGCUAACUACGUGCCCCCAGCCGCGGUGAUACAUAGGUCGCCCACCGUUGUUCGGAUUUAUUGUGCGGAAAGCGAGCGCAGGCGGGGGCGGUUAGAUAAGUCUGAAGUUAAAGGCUGUGGCUUAACCAUAGUAGGCUUUGGAAACUGUUUAACUUGAGUGCAAGAGGGGAGAGUGGAAUUCCAUGUGUAGCGGUGAAAUGCGUAGAUAUAUGGAGGAACACCGGUGGCGAAAGCGGCUCUCNNGGCUUGUAACUGACGCUGAGGCUCGAAAGNNGUGGGGGAGCAAACNGGAUUAGNAUACCCUGGUAGUCCACGCUGUAAACGAUGAGUGCUAGGUGUUAGGACCNUUUNCGGGGUUUANNGCNGUAGCUNACGCAUUAAGCACNCCNCCUGGNNNNACGAANCNCAGGNNG